AUGAAAACCAGUCAGCUGCCAGUAGUGCUGUCCUGUCUGUUGUUUUCUGCAUUUAUAUCGUGCAAAGACGUGAACAGGACCAUGUAUUCAAACGGUCUUUUACAUAGGGUACCUUCACCUGGGGAGAAGUCGCACGUGUCUUCGAAAUCCCGCGUAAAACGUUCAGCAACUAAGACAGAGAACUGGACUAUCGACGCAAGUUGCAACUGCUGCCAAAGCUACUUUACACUAGAGUCAUUUUCCGAAGCCUACAGCCUUACGCACGGCAAUUGUACUGUAGGUCAGGUGUGCUGUCUAAUCAAACAAAGCCCUAUUCAGUGGACACAGCGUUGCUCAACUUCAGGUCACAAGUUAUAUUAUCUUUUGAAAAUAAACUGUAAUAU
rnacentral:lncRNA from 1 species